rnacentral:rRNA from 1 species
CCUANGGGGGCAGCAACCGGGAAUCGUGCGCAAUGGACGAAAGUCUGACGCCGCGACGCCGCGUGAGGGAUGAAGGCCUUCGGGUUGUAAACCUCUUUUGAUGUAAGGGAGACCUUAUAUAGAAUAAGCAUCCGCUAACUCUGUGCCAGCAGCUGCGGUAAUACAGAGGAUGCAAGCGUUAUCCGGAUUUAUUGGGCGUAAAGCGUUUCGUAGGCGGUGGGUUAAGUUGUUCUUCAAAGACCAGGGCUCAACCUUGGGAAGGGGGACAAUACUAGCCUCACUUGAAAAAUUUCGGGGUUUUCGGAACUCUCGGUGUAGGAGUGAAAUCCGUUGAUAUCGAGAGGAACACCAAGGGCGAAGGCAGAAAACUAGGAAUUUUUUGACGCUGAGGAACGACAGCUAGGGGAGCGAAAGGGAUUAGAUACCCUGNUANUC